GAAGAUGACUUCUGGGUUUGCAGGACAAAAGGCUGGAUGUUGGCUUUACAAUGAAGGACAGAGAAUCUGGGAAAGGCAGUGGUCAGCUCUGUCCUGCAGGAACGCCACAUGCAUUCUGUCAGAACAAAGGGCUACCCUGAGCUUUUAUCUUUAACAUCUGAUUUACAACAGACAUUUUCAUUGGGGAUUUACAAAUUAGAGAUUCUCAACCUACAAUAUCAAGAUGUCAUUAGCCAGUGAUGAGUAAAAUCCUGCCUGGGGAAGUGCUUCACUGGGGUGGACUCCAAAGGUGGAUUAGACUGAAGAAUGCUCCGGAAUUGGGAAAGCACAUAGUGUCCAUGAAAGUAUUUCUAGAGAAGAUUGACAUGCGAGUCAGCGAGUUAACUCCCCACCCCCGACCAUGAGAUAGGCUGGCUUUGAACUUCCUAUCAUCCUGCCUUGGGCUUCUAUGUACUGAGAUUACAGGGUAAUUCCUGUGAGUAAACUCAGAUCACCUGGACUGUGUCGCAAGGACCGUUAUCCAUCUGCCAUCUCACUGGCUGCAGAAACCUAUGUUGGAUGCUCAUUAAUUCAAGACAAAGGGAUGAGGGAGACUCUCAGGUUUAUAAGUUACUGGACACUGCCGUAGUCAUCCUACCUUGGGGCUUAAGUAUAUUAGUAUUUGUUCAUCUACUUCUAAACACCACAGUAACCUCAUGGUCCUUGGAUUCCAAUUUUCCCGAAGUAGCUUCAAAUUGCAUCAGUAGGAGGGAAAACAAGAGGAAAGGAGAUUGACUGUGACUGAAGCCCAGGCAUGACUGUGUCCUUGGCCCUGGAAAGAAAAUUGUCAGCAGUGCCACACUAAGAAUGCUAAGGCAAAGAGAAGACUCUCAAAUACAAGAGGCAUAGACAACAUCCUCAGAAACGGAUCGAGGGAAACAUGCAAGGAAUGUUAGUGAUUGUUCCAAGG
rnacentral:lncRNA from 1 species